rnacentral:rRNA from 1 species
UACGUAGGGGGCAAGCGUUGUCCGGAUUUAUUGGGCGUAAAGAGCGUGUAGGCGGCCAGGUAGGUCGGUUGUGAAAACUGGAGGCUCAACCUUCAGAGGUCGACCGAAACUAUCUGGCUAGAGUCCGGGAGAGGAGAGUGGAAUUCCUGGUGUAGCGGUGAAAUGCGCAGAUAUCAGGAAGAACACCAGUGGCGAAGGCGGCUCACUGGCCCGAUACUGACGCUGAGGCACGAAAGCGUGGGGAGCAAACAGG